CCGGUUUGUGAGUUGUUAAUGCAUUAAGAUGAGGGACUAAAUUGUAAAUUAGGCAAUUCACAGUUAAUUGACAAAUUCGUCGCAAGUGCAACAAACAUUAAUGGGCCGAAUCUGGUGGGCAAACCUUAAUGUAGCAUGCACUAAGCGUAAUAUAAAGAAUGGUAGUGGGGAGUUCACCCAUGGGCUUCGGCCCUUUUGGCGGGGUCGGUUGAGGAGGUGAGCUCGGCCUUAGAGGCCGGGGUAGCCCACGCGGAGGUAGAGCUGGUCGAGCUGGGCCACGGGACGACAAUGUAGCCCACGGGAUAGGAAGGCCAAACAAGUCCAGGGCGCUGGCCCGGCCAACUGGUGGCCCACUACGCAGUCAACGGGGGCGCGUCCCCAUUCUCCCGCACGGACAGCACAGGACGGCGACCAUAGCACGGUCAACGGCAGAGCUUGGCGACCAUGGGGACACCUUGGGGA
rnacentral:lncRNA from 1 species